rnacentral:lncRNA from 1 species
CUCAGGGCCACAUGUGAUCACCUUCCCGUUCAUUUCCUGGGGCUGCCGCUGCCCUUUCUCAGGAAGACCUUACAUCCUCGGCUGGGCCAGUUACUGGGGUCACGGUGACCCUGGCUGUUGCAGCCCCUGCCAGGUGUGUUCCAUUUUAGCCCUAGACAAAAGCCUGAACUCCGGCACUUUCCAGAGUGAGGGGCGCAAAUGUCCUCUGUGAUGGGGUGGGGAGACCUACCCCACGGGUGACUGGACCUAACACAGGCUUUCCAAGACUCGUUGUCCCCUAGGGUCACGACAGAGAUGACAUUUGAAAGAACGCACCAGCAAUUUGGCCAGGUACUGACCGCUCAGACUGGACGCCAUGCUGGAUGAAUAGCCAAACUUUUCUGUUUUUUUUUCUCCCAGAGGCCCAUCAAUAAUCAUCCAUAGAAGCACGAGGAGGGAGCAGGUGUGAGCCCCAGAGAAGUGUGGCUCUGGGCAGCUGGCCUGUCCCCAGUCUCUGCUUCUCUUACUGGCUCCUGGGAACUCUAUGAGGCUGGAAUGAUCAUAAUCUCCAUCUAACACAAGGGGAAACUGAGGCUCAGAGAAGUUAAGUGACUGACCAUAGUCACACACGAAGCAGCAGAAUCGGGUGUCAAAUGCAAGUCUACUUCCCAAAAGGAGCUUUGUCUGGUGCCUGUGGGGAAGAGGAACUCAGUGUCAUAUUUUGGUAACGUCAUCUUGGGAAUUAUACAAACCCUGGAAGAUUUGCCAUCAGCGUAAGUUGAAAGCAUAUUUUCCACAUUGCAAAAGUUCAGGACUUUACCCGUCCACCCACCUAUCCAUCUACUCAAAAACCCCUCCAUUCACCGAGCCAACAUUUAUUGAGGGCUCCGUGUUCCAGGCACUCUGCCAGGCAUCGGAGAUAAAGAAAGUAAUAAGUGAUGGUUCCUUUUUUCAAGGAUCCCACAGGUACACAGGCAAUUAUGACAUGUGGUUGUGUGUGCUGCAAGAGGGGAAGAGUCAGGUGUCCGUGGGGCCACAGGAGGGGCCACCCCAGCUGGGACAAUGAGGUUUUUGGAAAGCUUCCAACUCAGGCGGUUUUUCAGCUGAGACCUGAAGGAUGAGCUGGAGCUGGUGGUGGUGUGAGGAGGGGAGAGAUACCUGGCAGAGGGAGAGACAUGUGCAAGGGCCUGAGGCCAGAGCCCGGAGUGUUGGCUGUGUGCAGGCAGUUGGGUCUGGCUGCCGUGUAGAAGGUGGGCACGACCUGUGGGUCUGAUCUGUCUAAGAUGCUUAUGGCACCUUCCUUUUGCAGAGUCUCAAGUGGUUUUGGUUUGCCCGGGGAGGUAGGGAGGAGGAAAUCAUUUCUUAUCGUGUGAUCCUGGCGGCCGGGAGAGGGUGAGUGGCUUGACCCCACGGCCGUUCUCUAGGACGUCUCUGUCUUCCAGCCCAACCUUGGCUCCAGGCCUGGCUCACCCCUAAACUAUCCAAUGGUUGGAGAGCUCCCCUCUCCUUGCCUGUCCUGCCAGAGGAAGCAGCAGGGUCCUCGUGCCUGUUCCCUGGGCAGCCGGUAACUUGGCCUGGCUCUCCCCUGCGUGGCUCCAGUCCCGGCCUUUUGGCAGGGCUGCUCACUCAUUACAGCCAUCACAACCAGCCCUUCUCCCUGUUCAUCAUCCCUCCAGCUGAGCCCGUGAUAUUUUCCUUUGAGUCUCCAGGGCGUGCUCCAGUCUUGAAGGCCUGGGAGAGGCCUGACCCAGUCAGGAGGUCCAGGAGGGCUAGAAGCGGGGUGCAGGGGGCCUGGCAGGCGGUGGGCAGCUAGAGCUGUUCAGCCCCUUCCCUCCUUUCUCUGCCCCUUUCCCCAGGGUGGGGCAACUCCCCUUUGGAAACUGGGCAUUGGAAGGCCUAGGGUCCUCUGGGUUGGUUUUUCUGCAACAUGAACUAAUUAAAGGGCAGAACAUGCAAGUACCUUACGAGACCCACAAACCACCCAACUCACGCAAUACACAAACCA